UACGGAGGGUGCAAGCGUUAUUCGGAAUUAUUGGGCGUAAAGGGCGUGUAGGCGGCCAGAUAAGUCAGAUGUGAAAGCCCAGGGCUCAACCCUGGAAGUGCAUUUGAAACUGUCUGGCUUGAGUGCGGGAGAGGAAAGCGGAAUUCCAAGUGUAGAGGUGAAAUUCGUAGAUAUUGGGAGGAACACCGGUGGCGAAGGCGGCUUUCUGGACCGAAACUGACGCUGAGGCGCGAAAGCGUGGGGAGCAAACAGG
rnacentral:rRNA from 1 species